UGGCUGAGUGGUAAAGCGCUAGGCUUCCGAACCGGAGGUCCUGAGUUCGAAUCUCGG
rnacentral:tRNA from 1 species